UUCAAACGUGUUCGUGCCCGCGUUCCGUUUUUUCCAGUUUUCUUUGGUUUUCGUUUCGUUUCGUUUCGUUUCGUUACGUUACGUUCCAUUACGUUACGCUUUGUGUUGACGUUCGCCGGCUUUUGGCGCAUGCGUAACCGUCCGUGGUCCGUGGUCCGUGCUCCGUGGUCGUUGUUUGGUUCUUCCUGCGAAUCGAGCGUUGCAUUGUAUUUUGUGGCAGGUUGCGUGCGUGCGUUCGUGUAUUGUGUGUCUGAUUUGAAUGGCGUUUUAAGUGAAAUUAAAAUGACGGAUGUGCUAGAGAGAGAGAGAGAGAGAGAAAAUAUAACAAGCAGUUUGUGGCAUGUGUUGUGGCAUGUAGCAUGUGCCUCUGCCUCUGCCUCUCCAGUUGAUCGAAUUAAGUGCCAGCUAAUGUUCUGCGCUCGUACUCGCAGCGCCCGCGGGACCGGGACCCGGGACUGCAAUUGACUGCCACACACCGGAUAUGCAAGCGGCGCAACGUUCGCCGAGAAAAAAAGUGUAACACCCCCGCCCAGGAAGCUGCAGCAAUAAGUGCUAAUCAGUAACCCAGACCCCGCCGCUUCGCAGGCACAGGCACAGGCCCAGGCCCAGGCCAGGCCCGGAUGUAGGGCAAUAAUUGCCAAUUUCAAUUUCUGUCCAAUUGGAAAAUCUCGAAAAUUGUGUGUGUGUUUUGUUUGUGCCCCAGUCAUGUCAUGCCCAGACGACUCGUAAAAUACUCACAUACUCGUAUACUCGUAUCUGGCCAAACUCCGACACUGGCUCCGAAUCACGCUCCAACUCCAAGUAACUCUUGACUGCGCGUCACGCACCGCGAACAGGGAUCGGAGCGGAGCCUCCCUUUCUGCCACUCUUUCCUGACUGACUUUCCGCCUCUCUCUCCCGUUGCACAAUGCACAGGCUGGUGCUUCUUCGACUGCUGCUCUGGUGGCCAGCGCUGCGUUGGCUGCCCUCAAGCCGCACUUUUGGCAACCCCCCCUGCGUCUGCUGAUAAAAGGGGGAUCCCUCACAGAGAUAGAGAAACAGAGAGAGAGAGAGAGAGAGAGAGAGAAAGAGAGCGAGCAAAGAAUCGAAAAACGGGGGGAACCCUACCAACAACAACAAAAGAAAAAGAGACAGUCUUUAAGGUGCGUUGCACUCCCGCUCGCUGGCUCGCUCGUUGCUUUUUGUCAUUGAUUCCGCGGAUAGCAUGCGGCAGGGGCAGCAAACGGCAACAGCUGCUGCGACAAUACUACAGACGAGCCACAAUAGUUGCAGCGAUUAUUUCGAGCAUCCGCCUUCCUCUGCUGCUCUGCCACCGCCCCUUGCCACCGCUGUAGUUGUAGUUGUAGUUGUAGUUGUAGCUGUUGCUGCUGUCUUCCGUAACGUGGCCAGAACGUUGCCGGGCAAUUAUUAUUUUGUAAGACGUUUUACAAUUUAAUGGUUUUCAUGAAUGGACUUGGAUCCGACCCUCUGUCAGCAAAGGAGGCAGAGGGCCCUCCGGUUCAGGUUGAACCAGUUGAUUUGAGCCUACGUUCGCCGCGCGGUAAGUUGC
rnacentral:sRNA from 1 species